rnacentral:rRNA from 1 species
AGUGAACGCUGGCGGCGUGCCUAAUACAUGCAAGUCGAACGGAGUGGCGCACGGGUGAGUAAUAUAUAGCUAAUCUGCCCCUUGCUGGAGGACAACAGUUAGAAAUGACUGCUAAUACUCCAUAGCAAGGGAUGAGACGAUCUCGUAUAAUGUAGUCGGUGGGGUAACGGCCAACCGCGGCUAUGACGCGUAACUGGUCUGAGAGGAUGAACAGUCACAGUAGAACUGACACACGGUACAAACUCCGACGGGAGGCAGCAGUAUGGAAUAAUGCGCGAGGGAGGAAUGCCGGACGAAGCAAGGCCGCGUGGAGGAUGACACUGUUCGGAGCGUAAACUCCUUUUGUUAGGGAAUCGGUACCUAACGAAUAAGCACCGGCUAACUCCGUGCCAGCAGCCGCGGUAAUAC